rnacentral:rRNA from 1 species
AUUGAACGCUGGCGGCAGGCCUAACACAUGCAAGUCGAGCGGCAGCGGAAAGUAGCUUGCUACUUUGCCGGCGAGCGGCGGACGGGUGAGUAAUGUCUGGGAAACUGCCUGAUGGAGGGGGAUAACUACUGGAAACGGUAGCUAAUACCGCAUAACGUCGCAAGACCAAAGAGGGGGACCUUCGGGCCUCUUGCCAUCAGAUGUGCCCAGAUGGGAUUAGCUAGUAGGUGGGGUAACGGCUCACCUAGGCGACGAUCCCUAGCUGGUCUGAGAGGAUGACCAGCCACACUGGAACUGAGACACGGUCCAGACUCCUACGGGAGGCAGCAGUGGGGAAUAUUGCACAAUGGGCGCAAGCCUGAUGCAGCCAUGCCGCGUGUAUGAAGAAGGCCUUCGGGUUGUAAAGUACUUUCAGCGGGGAGGAAGGCGCUGAGGUUAAUAACCUCAGCGAUUGACGUUACCCGCAGAAGAAGCACCGGCUAACUCCGUGCCAGCCGCCGCUGUAA